AUUGAACGCUGGCGGCAGGCCUAACACAUGCAAGUCGAACGAGUGGCGGACGGGUGAGUAAUGUCUGGGAAACUGCCUGAUGGAGGGGGAUAACUACUGGAAACGGUAGCUAAUACCGCAUACCAUCGGAUGUGCCCAGAUGGGAUUAGCUAGUAGGUGGGGUAAAGGCUCACCUAGGCGACGAUCCCUAGCUGGUCUGAGAGGAUAACCAGACACACUGGUCCUGAGACACGAUCAAGACUCCUACGUGACGGAGCAGUGGGGACAAUUGCACUAUGGUCGCAAGCCUGCAGCAGCCCUGACCACUGGAUGAAUAAGGCCUUCGUGUUCUACAGUACUUUCAGCGGGGCGGCGUUACCCGCCGAAGAAGCACGUACUAUCUCCGUGCCAGCCGCCGCGGUAAUUC
rnacentral:rRNA from 1 species